CAACCCUUUUCCUUACUUGCCAGCAUUUCGGAUGGGAACUUUAAGGAUACUGCCAGUGACAAACUGGAGGAAGGCGGGGACGACGUCAAGUCAUCAUGGCCCUUACGGCCAGGGCUACACACGUGCUACAAUGGUCGGUACAAAGGGUUGCUACACAGCGAUGUGAUGCUAAUCUCAAAAAGCCGAUCGUAGUCCGGAUUGGAGUCUGCAACUCGACUCCAUGAAGUCGGAAUCGCUAGUAAUCGCGGAUCAGAAUGCCGCGGUGAAUACGUUCCCGGGCCU
rnacentral:rRNA from 1 species